AAUAAGAUAAACCUUCCUAUACUAUCAUAAUGUCUGUAACCUAAACCCCAUGAUAUCUACUAACCAGAAUUUUGGUAUUUGUAGGUUUUUACUGCGUUGCAACUGGCUCCAGACUGGAAUUUAUAACCAAGACUAAAUAUUCAAGUGCCUAUGUGAAGUACCUACUUAACAACAAGUUGUAUUAAGAUCUUAUGAAGUUAAUACCUACAUAAGAAACUAAAUUGGCAUAUCAUUCUGCUACUGAAUAAUCAGAAAGCAGUUUUUUAGCUAAUAGAAGAGAAGCUUAUGCUUGAUAUUUCAGAACACUGAUAAUAAUUGUGAUGUGAUUUAAUAUAUGAUACUUAAUAAACACAAAAUACAGCAAAAA